CGGAGCGUGCGGAGCGUCGGGGGUGCGGGACCGGGAAUGGGAGCAGGACCGGCCCUUCCCGGCCCGGUCAUGGCGAAACUGAGGGGCCCCCUCGGUGGCGGGAAGCCGGUGCUGGCCGAGGAGGGCCCGCCCGGGCAGGGCCGCGCUGCCCUUCCCGCACCAUGUUGUGGCGAAGCUCCCUGAGGGCCGGUCCCGCUUCCCCUCGGCCCCGGCGCUGAGCGGCCCCGGCGGGGGGACGUGAAGGGGAGAGUGAAGCCCAUCAGCAGGCAAAAAGUGAAGGGGCAGAAAUUGUGUGUCUUCAGAAAAGAAGGGUGAUGGUUCACACAAAGGCUGUCCACCAAAUGCCUUUUUAACACUGCUUUCCAAGAGACAAAGCCACAUGACUGGCAGAGCAGGAGGUGUCCCAGAGCCGAGUUCCUCUUGAGAGCAGGGCUGAGUUCUGGAACGAUCUUCAAAUGUCAAAGGUCAUGGCCUGAGUUUCAGAAUUCCUAACAGAAGUGGCAACAGCAAAAGAAGUGAUUGGCAGUGUCUGUAUGUGAAGAUUCGUGGAUUCCUCAAAAGCUGAUGAUCAUCUGUGUUUUCUCUACAUGGCUAAGAAGGAUUUAAAAAAAAAAAACUAAAUAAAGAUGCCACCUACCAUAAGUCUGAA